rnacentral:tRNA from 1 species
GUGAGUGUAGCUCAGCCGGUAGAGCGCUGGACUGUGGCUCCAGAGGUCGGGGGUUCGAGGCCCCUCACUCACCCCA